rnacentral:lncRNA from 1 species
AAGAACUUCAGUCUCAGCAUGAGGUAUCCCAAAUUUACGUAAUUUCCUACCGUGGGAUACCAAUUUAAGUUCUCCCCGAUCCUAAUACAAAAUUUGUAUAUAUUUAAUAUAAUUAAAUCAAUUUAAACAAUAAUUAACAAAAACAAUUUAAUUGAAGGUUUUUUCGUUCUUACCUCACCAUCCCAAAACUUAAUAGCAACAUGGUCA